GGGAACAUACCCUUUUCUACGGAAUAGCUCUGGGAAACUGGAAUUAAUACCGUAUACGCCCUACGGGGGAAAGAUUUAUCGGGGAAGGAUUGGCCCGCGUUGGAUUAGCUAGUUGGUGGGGUAAAGGCCUACCAAGGCGACGAUCCAUAGCUGGUCUGAGAGGGUGAUCAGCCACAUUGGGACUGAGACACGGCCCAAACUCCUACGGGAGGCAGCAGUGGGGAAUAUUGGACAAUGGGCGCAAGCCUGAUCCAGCCAUGCCGCGUGAGUGAUGAAGGCCUUAGGGUUGUAAAGCUCUUUCACCGAUGAAGAUAAUGACGGUAGUCGGAGAAGAAGCCCCGGCUAACUUCGUGCCAGCAGCCGCGGUAAUACGAAGGGGGCUAGCGUUGUUCGGAAUUACUGGGCGUAAAGCGCACGUAGGCGGAUAUUUAAGUCAGGGGUGAAAUCCCAGAGCUCAACUCUGGAACUGCCUUUGAUACUGGGUAUCUUGAGUAUGGAAGAGGUAAGUGGAAUUGCGAGU
rnacentral:rRNA from 1 species